UACGUAGGUGGCAAGCGUUGUCCGGAUUUACUGGGCGUAAAGGAUGCGUAGGCGGACAUUUAAGUCAGAUGUGAAAUACCCGAGCUUAACUUGGGUGCUGCAUUUGAAACUGGGUGUCUAGAGUGCAGGAGAGGUAAGUGGAAUUCCUAGUGUAGCGGUGAAAUGCGUAGAGAUUAGGAAGAACACCAGUGGCGAAGGCGACUUACUGGACUGUAACUGACGCUGAGGCAUGAAAGCGUGGGGGAGCAAACAGGAUUAGAACCUACCGUAGUCAG
rnacentral:rRNA from 1 species